rnacentral:rRNA from 1 species
UACGUGGGGUGCGAGCGUUGUCCGGAAUCACUGGGCGUAAAGGGCGCGUAGGCGGCUUUGUAAGUUAGAGGUGAAAGCCCAGGGCUUAACCCUGGAAUUGCCUUUAAGACUGCAUCGCUAGAAUCGUGGAGAGGUGAGUGGAAUUCCGAGUGUAGAGGUGAAAUUCGUAGAUAUUCGGAGGAACACCAGUGGCGAAGGCGGCUCGCUGGCUCGAUACUGACGCUGAGGUGCGAAAGCGUGGGGAGCAAACAGG